AUUCCGGUUGAUCCUGCCGGAGGUCAUUGCUAUCGGAGUCCGAUUUAGCCAUGCUAGUCGCACGGGUUUAGACCCGUGGCGGAUAGCUCAGUAACACGUGGCCAAUCUGCCCUACAGAUCGCGAUAUCCUCGGGAAACUGAGGUCAAUAGCGAAUACGGUCCCACGCUUUGAACAGCCGGGACCGGAAACGCUCCGGCGCUGUAGGAUGAGGCUGCGGCCGAUUAGGUAGACGGUGGGGUAAUGGCCCACCGUGCCAAUAAUCGGUACGGGUUGUGAGAGCAAGAACCCGGAGACGGAAUCUGAGACAAGAUUCCGGGCCCUACGGGGCGCAGCAGGCGCGAAACCUUUACA
rnacentral:ncRNA from 1 species